rnacentral:rRNA from 1 species
GAUGAACGCUGGCGGCGUGCCUAAUACAUGCAAGUCGAGCGAACGGACGAGAAGCUUGCUUUUCUGAUGUUAGCGGCGGACGGGUGAGUAACACGUGGAUAACCUACCUAUAAGACUGGGAUAACUUCGGGAAACCGGAGCUAAUACCGGAUAAUAUUUUGAACCGCAUGGUUCAAAAGUGAAAGACGGUCUUGCUGUCACUUAUAGAUGGAUCCGCGCUGCAUUAGCUAGUUGGUAAGGUAACGGCUUACCAGGGCAACGAUGCAUAGCCGACCUGAGAGGGUGAUCGGCCACACUGGAACUGAGACACGGUCCAGACUCCUACGGGAGGCAGCAGUAGGGAAUCUUCCGCAAUGGGCGAAAGCCUGACGGAGCAACGCCGCGUGAGUGAUGAAGGUCUUCGGAUCGUAAAACUCUGUUAUUAGGGAAGAACAUAUGUGUAAGUAACUGUGCACAUCUUGACGGUACCUAAUCAGAAAGCCACGGCUAACUACGUGCCAGCAGCCGCGGUAAUACGUAGGUGGCAAGCGUUAUCCGGAAUUAUUGGGCGUAAAGCGCGCGUAGGCGGUUUUUUAAGUCUGAUGUGAAAGCCCACGGCUCAACCGUGGAGGGUCAUUGGAAACUGGAAAACUUGAGUGCAGAAGAGGAAAGUGGAAUUCCAUGUGUAGCGGUGAAAUGCGCAGAGAUGUGGAGGAACACCAGUGGCGAAGGCGACUUUCUGGUCUGUAACUGACGCUGAUGUGCGAAAGCGUGGGGAUCAAACAGGAUUAGAUACCCUGGUAGUCCACGCCGUAAACGAUGAGUGCUAAGUGUUAGGGGGUUUCCGCCCCUUAGUGCUGCAGCUAACGCAUUAAGCACUCCGCCUGGGGAGUACGACCGCAAGGUUGAAACUCAAAGGAAUUGACGGGGGCCCGCACAAGCGGUGGAGCAUGUGGUUUAAUUCGAAGCAACGCGAAGAACCUUACCAAAUCUUGACAUCCUUUGACAACUCUAGAGAUAGAGCCUUCCCCUUCGGGGGACAAAGUGACAGGUGGUGCAUGGUUGUCGUCAGCUCGUGUCGUGAGAUGUUGGGUUAAGUCCCGCAACGAGCGCAACCCUUAAGCUUAGUUGCCAUCAUUAAGUUGGGCACUCUAAGUUGACUGCCGGUGACAAACCGGAGGAAGGUGGGGAUGACGUCAAAUCAUCAUGCCCCUUAUGAUUUGGGCUACACACGUGCUACAAUGGACAAUACAAAGGGCAGCGAAACCGCGAGGUCAAGCAAAUCCCAUAAAGUUGUUCUCAGUUCGGAUUGUAGUCUGCAACUCGACUACAUGAAGCUGGAAUCGCUAGUAAUCGUAGAUCAGCAUGCUACGGUGAAUACGUUCCCGGGUCU